ACAAAAAAAAACAACAUUGAAUUGUACACUUAAAGUGGGUAAAUUGUCUAGCAGGUGAAUUAUGUCUCAAUAAAGCUGCUCCUUAAAAAAACAAUUAGCAAGAGGAAAGGUGAGCCCAGGAGAAGAGAGGUACUGGCAAACUCCUUCACCUGCCCUCUCAGGUAAUAAACCAUAGGGCGUAUGGCAGGGGCGGGGGAAGGCAUGGUUCCUUGGCCCCCACAAUUUCACCCUGGUCAACAGAAUUUCUGGACUAACAGCUGAGUCCUUCAAGGUUGUCCUAGAGGCAGAAGAGCCCCCCAGGCAAUGCCAGGUUUCCUCAAGGGCACAGCAUCCAACGCCUACUUACGCACCUUGAGCAACCAUGAGUUUACUCCCUCAUGGUUUAUGUGGCUCAGAACAUACACAAAGAACCCCUCAUACAGUGUGGACAUGGACCAUCCAGACUUCCACUCACUCGUCAUAGUCCUGUCCUCUAGGCCAGGUGGAAGGUGUAGGUUGGUGUCACCCCCUCACCUCUCCACAUCCUAGUUCCUUCCUAGUCAUAUAGGUCCUCUGGGCCUGCUCCAGACAGCUCACAUCCAUCUCAUAUGUUUGCCAACGCAGAAGGCACAGUCAUCAGGGUUUCUAAGACCUCAGGUGGAUGCUUGCAUCCAGGGAACCAGCAUCCACCCUGCCCCACAGGACUGGAGAAACCUCAGAGAAACAGGACCUAAACCACAGCCCCAACUGCCUCCUUCAAACUCCAACACCUGACCACUCUCUCCCCCACCAGAGAGUCAACAGCAGAGAGCAAAUGAGAAUUCUCAAUAACAAUAGCAAUUGUUGGCGAGCACUCACUUUGCCCCAAGCACUGGGGUGAAUUUCUUACCAGCAUUAUCUCAUCAAUUCCUUGCACCAGAGCCUAGCAGGAAGCUACUAUUAUUCCCAUUUUAUAGAUAAGAAAAUUAAGAUUAAGAUGUUGGCCCAAGGUCACGCUAGCUAACAUACUAUGGAGUCAAUGUUGGGACCCUGAGCUGGCCCAAGUCUGGAGGAGAUUUGUGGGAAAAAUUUGGUAUUGUCAGGCCCUCAGAACCAGAAAGGACAUCAGCCAUCAGGUAAUACACCUCCUUCAAUUCACAGCUCGGGAAACUGAGACCCAGACAGAGUAAGCAAGUAGCUGCCUGAAGUUGCCCAAGCCGCCGGGCUCCCAGGCCAGGGCUCUUUCCUCCACGCAGGCUCCCUCAUGAAAGCAGGAAGGAAUCAUCCUGCCACCAGCCCCACGGGGCUGCUGGUGUGAGAACAAGCCCGUGCUUGCCAGGGGCUUUGAAAUCCCAGGAUGAAAGGCGCCGUGGCAGCAGAACAGGACUGUGGGCAGGAGCGAGCCUGACCUCUGCCAGGACUUGCAGGCUGGCAUUCACCUGCUCACCUGCUCGGGGCGGGCACAAAGCUGCGGGAGCCACGGGCCAAGCCACAGAACCCUAACCCGCCUCAGAGCUCAGGGCACUGUGGGAAAGGGAUGUACCGGUCUCCUGGGCGGAGAACCAGACCCUCGGUAGGGAGGGCUCUGGAAUCUUAAUUGUCUGGCAUGGAGGGGCUCACUGUGAACAAGGUGAAGUGAGGAAGGUGAAGGGUCAGUGGAGGGGACAAAGACACACCUCAUUCCCCUCCAGCACACAUUUCUAAGGCCGCUUGCUUCCUUGGGAGGGGGCUGGCGGCUUCUCCUCCUUCCAAACUCCCACCCCCCCCAACUUCAGGUGCCCCCUCAGGUGAGCCUGGACCAGGAAUUUGAGGCAUGUGAAGAGGGUUAUUAAUAGCACUGAAGUGUAGGGAGGAAAGAGGCCAGCAGGCUGAGUGGGCACAACCCUCUUGCACCCUGCCCGGUGUCCACAAAACAAACCCAACCCUGUCCGGGAGAGGACACCUCACCUUUUGUGGUCUCAGUCUCCUCCCCUGUAAAAUGGCCAGGGGAAGGGGGGCGGGGCGCUGGCAGUUCUCAGCCCAGGAGGUGGGAAGAGGGAGAGAGCCAGAGCUGGGGGUGGGGGAAGGAAAAACCCCACCGAAAAAGGCGCAGCACACCCCACCCAGGCCCGGUGAGGGGCCCCCACAGGAGGUUGUGAAUGGAUGGACUGUUACAGAGCUCCAGGAGGCUGCCACCGACAGGGAGGGGACAGGAAGACUCCACCCCAGCCUUCCUCCUCCAGGCCUGUCCUACCAGGAGGCUUUUCCAGGACUUAACCCCCUGCUGGUCUGAAGCUGGAGAGGGUCUGACUCAUUUCUACCUCAUCCUCACCCCGGGGCCAGGACUGGCACAAAGGGGAAGCUCAGGCUGAGGGCCCAGGACCAGUCACUGGACAAGCCGUCCCCAGGACCGUCUUUGUGUCCAGCUGGGGAGGGGCCCUGGGGACACGGAGUUAAGGGACACCUGGUCCCUUUUCUCAAGGGGUACGUGCAGGCAGAACACAGCUGCUGAAACUCUCCAGGACUGCAAGGCACAUCAAGAUAAGUGUAGGUGGACACAGUGCUCUGGGCCCCCUGGACUGGGAGAAGCAAAUUCAGCCAAAAGGAACGGUCUCCUCUUUCCACCGGCUGCCCCCGCACAUGGACCAGCACCCCGGCCUCGAUGCCAGGCCGUAUGCUAAGAAAGUUACACAAAUUAAGUCACUCAAGUCUCUCAACAACUCACUAAUGAGGAAGAAAUCAUUCACCCCAGUUCGAAGAGGAGAAAACCGAGGUGCCAGGACACUGGGAGCCUUGCCCAAGAUGUCAGGGCUGGGAAACAGAUGCUCGCAUUCCGCCCAGGCAGCCUCACCCAGGGCCAGGAGGCGUUGAUGGGCCCUGGAAGUCUCAGCCACGUGUACUGGGUCUGCGGCCAGGGCGAGCGGAGGACCGGGACAGCGAGGGAGGAAGG